UUGUUUAGUAGCUUAGUGAAGCAAACCAGAAUACGCAUACGUCUAAGUCACCUAAACAACGUAGAGGCUUUACACACGACAUUACAAAUGGCGAAGAUAACGGUUUAGCAUGUUGUUUAUCACAUGCUGAAAACGAGGACGGUCGAGCUGUCAUUUCCUGACCAUCUGAAAGCAGGCCUCAACUUUUGCAGGUCACAGAGGCACUGUUCCAGCUAUGGAGAGCCUUUUUGGAGAAGCUCGGGGUCAUGGGCAGCUAUGAGGACAACAGGACAAUGACCCAACACACCUCCAGGUUGUGUAAGACCAAGAAGGAGAG